GUCAUCGGGCUCUCCUCUUUUGAAAGAUCUUCUACAUAGCGCGGCGCACCGCCCGUCGAGAAGCAGUCACAUGUGAUACCGAGGUGGAGACGUCGCCGGCAUCCUCGAGGCGCGACCGCACUUCUACGAGCCAGCGUCGACUCAAGUGGUGCGCGCAAGGAGAUUUAUUUGUGGGUGUGCUGAGCUGUUAGGCAGUGACGGACGCAGCAAAGAAUUGGAGGGGGGCACACCCCCAAAAAAAAAAUUUGCGCCGUCAAAAUUGUGAAAAACGUUUGCCAAAUGAACAAUAUAUAAGGCUCUGUUGGGAUGUUUAUAUUGGGAGACUUGUCAUUGCAUUUAGUUGAAUGUUGAUAACCUAGGAUAUUGAGAUUGAAUGCCAAUAUUUCUGUUUGGAUAUUUAGAUAUUUAGAAGCUCGACUUAAUAUGGAGGGUGAAUGCCAAAAUAGUCGGAUCAACUUUGAAAUUCUGAAAAACUAAGAAACAAUGUGUACAACACAA